rnacentral:misc_RNA from 1 species
UCCUGGUUAACCCAGGCAGUCUCAUUAGAGUUCCCACCUUUACGUGUUGGCAACUAAUGAUAAGGGUUGCGCUCGUUGCGGGACUUAACCCAACACCUCACGGCACGAGCUGACGACAGCCAUGCAGCACCUGUAUAGCAGUCCCGAAGGAAAGCACUAUUUCUAGUGCGGUCUACUAUAUGUCAAGUCUGGGUAAGGUUCUUCGCGUUGCAUCGAAUUAAACCACAUGCUCCACUGCUUGUGCGGGUCCCCGUCAAUUCUUUUGAGUUUCACCCUUGCGAGCGUACUCCCCAGGCGGUAUACUUAUCGCGUUAGCUACGACACAACCAGGGUUGAGUCCGGUUACAUCAAGUAUACAUAGUUUACAGUAAGGACUAC